CUUUUCAUGGAGACCAGGUAUCCUGCAGGUUGGGUGGAGGAACCACAAAGCUCAGAAGUGGCUGGCAUCACUUGAUCUCUCACAUAACCGGAAGGGCAGACUAUCUGAAGGAAGAUCUUUGUGCAAUCUGCUCCUCAGAACAGAUAACAGUCUGUGAGGUCCAGUGAAUCUUGGAGCUGUGUGUGUGGGUGUUUCCCUGAAGGAGUUUCCAGUGAAAUAGAUACAGCUGAGCUGACUGCAGCACUUCUUUCUAGAGCAGAGCUGUCAAGAGGAUGAAUGAAUACUAUGGUAAGGAUGCAGUUUAUAUUUAGUUUAAGGAAGAAAACAGCCCUCUGCUUGUGAUCAAUCUAGAAUUAAAAGUGUCAGUCACAGAGUCAUUGUGGGGAACAGGCUUCUAAAGCAAAUU
rnacentral:lncRNA from 1 species